rnacentral:lncRNA from 1 species
CCUCCCCUCCAGCUAGGAAAGUCCUGGAUGGCAUCUUCUUCCAAUACCUGGUGGUUUUAUCUACACUGAAAAUAUGUUGCUUAAUGUAGCCGUCUUCAUCAAUGAUCUUAGCUAGAUCUUCUGCAUAACUUGCUGCGGCUCCUCCAGCAGCACUUGCUACAUCACCUUGCACUUUUUUUUUUGAGACAAAGUUUCACUCUUGUUGCUCAGGCUGGAGUGCAAUGGCACGAUCUCGGCUCACUGCAACCACCGCCUCCCAGGUUCAAGUGAUUCUCCUGCCUCAGCCUCCCAAGUAGCUGGGAUUACAGGCAUGCGCCACCACGCCCGGCUUCUUUUUUGUAUUUUAAGUUGAGAUGGGGUUUCUCCAUGUUGGUCAGGCUGGUUUCAAACUCCCGACCUCAGGUGAUCCACCUGCCUCAGCCUCCCAAAGUGCUGGGAUUACAAUCGUGAGCCACGAUGCCCGGCCGUCACCCUGCACUUUUAUGUUACAGAGAUGCCUUCUUUCCUUAAAUCUCAUGAAUCCACCUCUGCUAGCUUCCAACCUUUUUUCUGCAGCUUCCUCACCUCUCUCACCCUUCAAAGAAUUGAAGAGGGAUAGGGCUUCGCUUGGGAUUAGGCUUUGGCUUAAGGAAAUGUGGCUGGUUUGACCUUCUAUCCAGACCGUUCAGACUUUCUCCAUAUCCACAAUAAGCCUAGUUCACUUUUUUUUUUUUUUUCCAGACGGAGUCUCACUCUGUCACCCAGGCUGGAGUGCAGUGGCGCGAUCUCGGCUCACUACAAGCUCCGCUUCCCAGGUUCACGCCAUUCUCCUGCCUCAGCCUCCCUAGUAGCUGGGACUACAGGCACCCACCACCACGCCCGGCUGAUUUUUUGUAUUUUUAGUAGAGCUGGGGUUUCACCGUGUUAGCCAGGAUGGUCCCGAUCUCCUGACUUCGUGAUCCGCCCGCCUCGGCCUCCCAAAGUGCUGGGAUUACAGGCAUGAGCCACCAUGCCCAGCUAAGACUGGUUCACUUUCUUAUCAUUCAUGUGUUCACUGGAGUAGCACUUUUAAUUACUUUCAUGAAUUUUUCCUUUGCAUUCACAACUUAGCUAACUGGCAGAAGAGGCCUAGUUUUUAGCCCGUUUCAGCACUGGACAUGCCUUCCUCACUAAGCUUAAUCACUUCUGGCUUUUGAUUUAAAAUGAGAGACAUAAGACUCUUCUUUCACUUGAACACUUUGAGGUCAUUGUAGGGUUGUUAAUUGGCCUGAUUUCUAUUUUAUUUUAUUCUAUUUUUCAUCUCAUUUCAUUUAUUUGAGACAGACUCUCGCUCUAUUUUCCAGGCUGGAGUACAAUGGUGUGAUCUUGGCUCACUACAACCUCCACCUCCCGGGUUCAAGCGAUUCUCCUGCCUCAGCCUCCCGAGUAGCUGGGAUUACAGGCACACACCACCAUGCCCAGCUAAUUUUUGUAUUUUUAGUAGAGAUGGGGUUUCAGCAUGUUGGCCAGGCUGGUCUCAACCUCCUGACCUCAAGUGAUCCACCUGCCUCAGCCUCCCAAAGUGCUGGGAUUACAGGCAUUAGCCACCGUGCCCGGCCUCAAUAUUGUAUGUCUUAGGGAAUAUGGAGGCUCGAGAAGAGAGAUGGGGGAAAUGGCUGGUCAGUGGAGCAGUCAGAACACACACAGCAUUAAUCGGUAAAGUUCGCCCUCUUACGUGGACAUGGUUGGUGGUGCCCCCACUCACAAUAGUAACACCAGAGAUCAUUGAUCACAGAUCAUCAUAACAAAUAUAAUAAUAAUGAAAAAGUGUGAAACACUGUGAAAAUUACCAGAAUGUGACACAGAGACACAAAGUGAGCAACUGCUGUCAGAAAAAUGGUGCCAACAGACUGGUUUGACGCAGGGUUGCCACAAACCUUCAAUUUGUAAAAAAUGCAGUAUGUGCGAGGCACAGUGAAGCAAGGUAUUCCUGUAGUAAACUGUAUAGUAUGCUAGAUGGUGACAAGUGCCGCAGAGAAAAAUCACCCAAUACACCAUCUCAGGAAGGCCAAGUGAGCCCACAAAGCAAACCACAUGCAGAACAUGCCGGCCAUGGCCCCACUUAUAAAUUAUGUCUCCCACCCUGAGCCAGCAGAACAGCCAAGUGCAGUUUCCAGAUGAGGAAAACAGACUCAUCCAGGGUCGCCAGCAAGGGCUUGGGCCAUCUUUCUUUCCUUUUCUUUUCUUCUUUCCUUUCUUUCUUUCCUUCCUUUCCUUUCUUUCUUUCCUUUCUUUUCUGACAGAGUCUCGCUUUAUCGCCAGGCUGGAGUACAGUGGCGUGAUCUCAGCUCACUGCAACCUCUGCCUCCUGGGUUCAAGUGAUUCUCCUGUCUCAGCCUCCCAAUAGUGGGGACUACAGGCAUCCACCACCAUACCGCUAAUUUUUGUAUUUUUAGUAGAGACGGGGUUUCAGCAUGUUGGCCAGGAUGGUCUCGAUCUCCUGACCUCGUGGCCCACCCACGUCGGCCUCCCAACGUGCUGGCAUUAUAGGCAUGAGCCACUGUGCCUAGCCCACAUCGUCCCAUUUUCACAGCUGCAAGCCUAACACUGCCUCCUGAGGCCUCUGUCUAUCCAUCUGUCUGCCAGCCCUGGGGAGGGGCCGUCCUCUCCUGAGCUAACUAGCCCCUCUGCCCUCGCUCUGCUUCUUCAUGCCUUCCUUCCUGCUUCAUAUAUCCACUGAGCACCUGCUAUGUGCCAGGUCCCAUGAUAGGCCCCAGGGCCACCUGGGGGAUGACAGUCCGGGACAGAAGAUUCACUUCCAGCCAAGCAAAUGACCCUGAGGCCUCAGAGCCCCUCAGUCACACAGGCCCCUUUCAAGGCCCUAAUCUUUUUUGUUUUGUUUUAAGACAGAGUCUCGCUCUGUCACCCAGGCUGGAGUGCAGUGGCACGAUCUUGGCUCAGUGCAAGCUCCGCGUCCCAGGUUCACACCAUUCUCCUGCCUCCGCCUCCCGAGUAGCUGGGACUACAGGUGCCCACCACCAUGCCCGGCUAAUUUUUUUGUAUUUUUAGUAGAGACGGGGUUUCACCGUGUUAGCCAGGAUGGUCUUGAUCUGCUGACCUCAUGAUCCGCCCGCCUCGGCCUCCCAAAAUGCUGGGAUUACAGGCGUGAGCCACCACGCCUGGCCCAAGGCCCUAAUCUUGUAUUUGUAAUUCUGUAUUUCUUCUUCCUAAAGGGCCACACCCCGGUACCUUAUAAGUUUCAUGGCUCCAUAAAACCUAGUCCUGUCCUGGGGGAGAUGAACAAACACGUAAACAAAUUAUAAAGUGUCAAAUGGCAGGAUGGAACAGAACUAAAUAUCAUGGCAGAAAAUAACGGGGGCGUGCAUAUCUUAGCUGGGGAGAAGCAACUGGGGAGUACCUCUUGGAAGUGACAAGCUGAGGCCAGACAAGGAAUCUGUGGAAUGACACGGGUGAAUGACAUGGGUGAGGAAUCUCUCUCUCUGAGCCUCUGUUUCCCUGUGUGAGGUGGGGAUGCCAGUCACAGCAGGGUGGGCUGAGAGGGGUAAGUGGCAGGUCCAGGUUACCCAGUGUGGUCACACCACCCAGUAGGACCGACAGGCAGCUCAGGCCCCUAGCUGAGCCUGGCACUGCCCUUAAUCGGCUUUUGUCCUUCCAGGAGGGACAGGCAGGGCUGGCUACCUCCUCUCUCCCCCCAACAGCUGGGGCUGGCUGUGCCAGGGCCAGACUAGGAGGCGGGAGCUGAGAUCACUGGGCCUUUGGCUCCCUGAGUCCUCUCUGGGGACAGAGACUUCUAGGGGAACAGGCAAGGUGCUGGGCUUUGGGAGGGAAGUCACUGGAGCAGAUGGUAGCAUUCCACCAAGGGCAGCUUGUUCAGGACCUGGGUGACAGGGCAUCCAAGAAACAGGGCAGCCUGAAUGGCUGGGAAAGGAUAUCAGAGGAAAGAUCACUGGGGACUGGAAAGUGUGGAGAUCAGACGUAGUCCAGGGCAAGUUUUGAGAUGUGGCUUCCAGAGUCCUAGCGGGGAGCCCCACAUAAGUGUGGCUGUGGACCCAGAGAGCUGGGUUUACAAAAGCUCUGCCACUUGCAGUGCAACUUUAACCUCCUCACUUAAAACCUGAGCCUCAGUUUCCUCUCCUGUAAAAUGGGGAUGCUGGCAAUAAUAGAGAUUUGAACCUAGGUGGUGUGGGUCCCAGAGGGUUAGCACGCUAAAGCAGCAAACACACAGAAAGCUCUCAGCACGGGACCUGCACGGAUAUGCUCAAGGUCGACACCAGUGAUGAGUAUCGCUGUUCCAGGCAGGGGAGCAGGGCCGGCCAUGCAACCCAGGACCAGUGGACAAGCCUGAAGGCCAGGGGACCCCACUGGGGGAGAAGCAAGACUGAGUUUUGGGGAUCUCACAGAGAAACAGGGAGGGAACUGGGAUUUGGAGGGGGUUCCACAGCCAGACUUGAAGGAUGAGGAAUGACUCUUCAGUGAAGUCUAGAAUUGUGAACUCCUGAGUUCAGGGAGAGCUGCGCUUGGGGACCAGGGUCCCGAGAGAUGGGAAUGGGAGGGCUGGGGCUGAACUCUCCCAAAUGUUGUUGGAGGGGAAGGGCCUAUGGGUAGCACUUGGGGCCUAAGAAGGAAAGAUGGGAUGGGGGUCCUGAGAAUGGGGACCAACUGGAGGUUUAGACUUCUUGGAAUCUAGGAGAAGGAGUCUUGGGCCCCAGGAGAAUUCAUGGAGACAGGUGACUAGACUCUUGGGUUCCUGGAAGGAAGAAAGAAGGACCGGCAGCCUCCUGGAUCACAGGAGAGGUGAAUGAGUUAGGGAAGCAGAGUCGUGUGGGCUCAGGGAAUGUCCGGAUUCAGGAGGCCAGGGCAGCAAGUUUCUGAGUCCCAAAGAGGUGAUAGCAGGGGCUCCUGGGUCCUGAAGAGGAAGGGCUUGGGGCUUGGACUCCUGGGUCUGAGGGAGGAGGGAGCUGAGGGCCCAAACUCCUGGCUCCCGAGGAGGGACAAAGGCACUGGGAACUGGGGCCCCAAACUUCUGAUUCCCAGAGACAAGAGGGUGACCUCUUAUGUCUAAGGGAGGAGGAACCUGGGGUCCUGGGCCCCUGGAACUGAAAGAAGACAGCACUGAGGUUUGAAGGAGGAGUGGGUAAGCUAUGGCCCAGACUCCUGGGCCCCAGCUAAGCAAGGCUUGAUCCAGCCCCACCUAACAGGCCUCCCCACCUGCCCACAGCCUCAAGGCUCAUCCACAACAUGGACCUGCGCACAAUGACACAGUCGCUGGUGACUCUGGCGGAGGACAACAUAGCCUUCUUCUCGAGCCAGGGUCCUGGGGAAACGGCCCAGCGGCUGUCAGGCGUUUUUGCCGGUGUACGGGAGCAGGCGCUGGGGCUGGAGCCGGCCCUGGGCCGCCUGCUGGGUGUGGCGCACCUCUUUGACCUGGACCCAGAGACACCGGCCAACGGGUACCGCAGCCUAGUGCACACAGCCCGCUGCUGCCUGGCGCACCUCCUGCACAAAUCCCGCUAUGUGGCCUCCAACCGCCGCAGCAUCUUCUUCCGCACCAGCCACAACCUGGCCGAGCUGGAGGCCUACCUGGCUGCCCUCACCCAGCUCCGCGCUCUGGUCUACUACGCCCAGCGCCUGCUGGUUACCAAUCGGCCGGGGGUACUCUUCUUUGAGGGCGACGAGGGGCUCACCGCCGACUUCCUCCGGGAGUAUGUCACGCUGCAUAAGGGAUGCUUCUAUGGCCGCUGCCUGGGCUUCCAGGUGAGCCCCCUGCCCCGUGCCCCUCUGGGCCCACAAUGAAGGCACCUGGUGGCCCCUGGCCUGGCCUAUAGUAUGGUAAAGUAACCAGUGGUCAGCAUUAUCGGACUCAGCAAACAGCAGGUACAGAAAGGAGAAGUUGGCUGGAGCUCAGACAGAGCUGCACCAGGGGUCUCAAACUCAUGGUCCCUAGGUCAUAUCUGCUAGGUGGUAAGAAAUGCAACUUGCAGAGCUUUUUUCACCAGGAUAUCCACUACUCUCUAUUGUCCUACAUGCAAGAGAUGUAUUCACUCUUUGUUACCUGUCUGGCCCCUGAAGUCACUUGAGUUUGAGACCCCUCAGGGAGGGAUCUGGAGCCAUGUGACCCUAUAGUCAUUCUGGCCCUCUCUGGGCCUCCCCGCACCUCAGCCUCCCCCUCCCACCCCACAUCUCCAGGCUUCCCUUCAGGCUAGCCUAUCCUCAGCAACCCAGCCCAGGCAUUCCUGGAAACCUCCCCUCACCAGGGCUGAACCCACAAGUAUUGAUCAGCCCAGCUGGGCCAGCCAGCUCCUCCCUGUGUCCCAGCCGUGACCCUAGAGUCAUGAGAAAGAGAUCCCGGGGCUGCCCAAACCAGCAUCCCAGCCACAAUAGCCAGGCAUCAGGUGCCCUCUGGCCUACUGGGCGCACAGCCAGGGGCAGGGCCCAGCUCUGCCUUGGUGCAGGGCAGUCUCCCCUUUAAAAUGUCCGUCCCCGGGAGGGCAGAGGCCUCCCCUGUCUUGGUCACUGCUCCAGCCCAGUGUCUAGCAUGCAGUAGGAACUUGGCCAGUACAGAGUGAACAGAAGAACCCGCCAAUCCCUUGCCUUGGCCUCCUAUGGCUCCAUUUCCUCUAAUCCUGUGUCCCCAUUGUAUUUUUUUUUUUUUUUUUUUUUGUAUUUUGUUUAGUAGAGAUGGGGUUUCACCAUGUUGGCCAGGCUGGUCUCAAACUCCUGACCUCAAGUGAUCCACCCACCUUGGCCUCCCAAAGUACUGGGUUUACAGGCAUGAGCCACUGCACCUGGACCCCACUGUCUUUCCUUAACUGCCUGUCUGCUCUGUCAGACGCUGUCUCUCCCUGCCCCCGUGGUGGCUGGCUGGUCCUAUGUCUAGGCCUCAGUCUCCCUCUCUGACUGUCUUUCUGCCUCAGGUCCCUGUGCCUGGGGGGCUGUCUCUGGCCAUCUCCCUGUUCCUGUCUUCCAGCUGCCUCCUCUCCCCAUCCAUCCUCUCUCUGACUUUCAGGAAGUCCCUGCACCAUCCUACUCCCCACCUCACAGCCUACCAGUGGCACCACCCCGCACUGGGAAUGAAAUCCAAAUUCCUCUGCCCAGGCCCUAUAUGAGCCCCCUUUGCCUCUCCAAUGUCACCACCUGCCCCUCUCCCCACUGC